CUGCAAACAUUAUAUAUAUUCAUUUUAUUUGCAAAAAAAUGUAUGUUUACUCCGGUAGGGUUGCCGAGUUUCAACCAAUUUUCUACAAUAUUUGACGCCUUUCACUAUUACUGGAAGUGACAACUUUGGACUGCCUGCAUGUUUUCUUUAACGCAUAAACAUCCUAACACGAACGUUGGCAAAUUAAUGGAAAAUUAUUUCAAUUCUGACAAAGAAAACAUAAAAUCUAAAAAUCACAUGAAAUUUAUGAAAUAUACAUAUUGAGUGUAGUCGUUUAAAUAUUACGGAAUAAGCUUCGGACUAAUUUAAUCAUAAAAAACAAAGCGAAAGCCAACCAAAGUGCGACUGUGGAAAAUUUGUGAAAAUUAGUCUAAUAACUCAAACAAGUUUUUUUAUUCCAAUUGUCAAUUGGAUGGAGACAGAGGUUAACCAACCCAAUUUGGGUUUAUUUUUUAAACCUUAAUUCAGUGGCUUAACCCAGUCAGUUGUAAACGUACUAUAAACUCUCUCACCGAUAAACUAAUGUAGAUUUGGACUUGCAAUUGCUAUGUACUAGAAUGUGCAAAAACCCACAAAUGUUUACUACAAUAACAAGUUAUCACAUUCUUCCGUUACGUUCCGACCACGACGUGGAAAUACAACACUGUUGUCACUUAUGACAUCAAAAUAUGCUAAAGGUUUUACAACACUGCAUGCAAAAGUGUCAACAGUGUUGUAUUUUUUUGCCGAAGACAAAACCAAACUUUGGAUCUUUUUUAGGAUUUAUAGCUCAGUUAUACGGAAUAAAAUCUCCACUAGAUUUUAAAAAAUCCCGUACAAAUAUCGCAGAAUUUAGAUAAACGUUUAUGAUGUUUAAGCAAGAAAUCCUUAAAUUUUUGAUAUGUUCCAGAAUCUGAAAAUAACAUUUUUUUCUUUAUGUUAUCGGCAAAAAUAGGUCUACAAUAGGGUCUACUACCCUCUAGUUUUAAGACAGAGCAUAUCUCAACAUUUGAAUACGCAUUAUUUGUAUUUAAUAUUUAAAAAAAGCAAUUUCAGUCAAACUUGAUUUCUGUAGGAAUCAUUGCUACUUUAUUUCCUUUAUUUUGCUUAUUUUUUCACAUGAGGUUUUUCAGUUUAACUUUCUUCAUGUCGGUUUAUUUGACGUGUAUGCAAAUGAUUUGACAAGUUUAACCUUGACCCAGUUAGUGUUAACGUACUAUUACUGCAUAAUUAGUAUUUUCUUUGUGAUAACUCAAAAUGCAAAAUAUAACGUUGACUCAUAUGAAGUUUUACUUUUUGAUUUUUUGGAAGUGUUCAGAUUUAUGUUUAAAAAACAGUGUUGCAUUUGAGGAUUUGUGCCGGUUUUAAAAUAAGUAAAGAUUCAUUUUGUAUGGCAAAUCUGGCUGAUUUUGAUCAAAUUAAGAAAAUAAAACCCGAUAAUGCGCUAAGUCCUGAUAAAGAACUUCAAUAUAAAUGGACUAUUAUAUUUGCAUACCAAACGAUUUCAUUUCAUUUAUGAUUUAAAGUAUUUGGUAUGCCCAUGGUAGAAGAAUAUAGGUAGACGCAUCGACGCAGCUGCUGAGACAAUGAACUGUCAAACCAAUUUUGGAAUUGAAAAUGUUAAAUGAAAAAUUAUUAAAAUUUGUAAAAAUUGUCGAAAAAGGCAUAUUAUAAUAACCCCCGAAUGACGUCGUAUAAGAAAACAUAUAAAAAUAUAUUUUUAUUUGAAAAUAAA